AUGCACACAUGACACGAGAGAUUACUCUGCAAGGUUUAUAUACUAAAAAAUUUCUGCUUUCUGCCUUGCAACUUACGUCUUCAGAACGAAAGCAGUGGACUAUACACUGGAGAUGGUUCAGUUGACAUCAAGGGGCAACCUGUGUUGAAGAGCAACACUGGAAAUUGGAGAGCAUGCCCCUUCAUUCUUGGUACUGAAUGUUGUGAACGUUUAGCUUUCUUUGGGAUUGCUAUUAACCUAGUCAGCUAUCUCACCAAAACAAUGCAUGAAGGAAAUGUCUCUGCUGCAAGAAAUGUUUCCAAUUGGACAGGCACUGCCUACCUAACACCGCUUAUCGGAGCAGUCUUGGCAGAUGUAUGUUGGGGAAGGUAUUGGACAAUUGCUGUCUUCUCUUCAAUUUAUUUUUUGGGAAUGUGCACAUUGACUCUAACAGCCACA